AGAGUUUGAUCAUGGCUCAGAACGAACGCUGGCGGCAUGCUUAACACAUGCAGGUCGAACGGGAUGCUUCGGCAUUCAGUGGCGGACGGGUGAGUAACACGUGGGAACUUGUCCUCGGGUGGGGAACAACCGCUGGAAACGGCGGCUAAUACCGCAUGAACCCUGAGGGGCAAAGGCUUCGGCCGCCUGAGGAGGGGCCCGCGUCCGAUUAGCUUGUUGGUGGGGUAACGGCCUACCAAGGCGUCGAUCGGUAGCUGGUCUGAGAGGACGAUCAGCCACACUGGGACUGAGACACGGCCCAGACUCCUACGGGAGGCAGCAGUGGGGAAUAUUGGACAAUGGGCGAAAGCCUGAUCCAGCAAUGCCGCGUGAGUGAUGAAGGCCUUAGGGUUGUAAAGCUCUUUCGCCUGAGACGAUGAUGACGGUAUCAGGAGAAGAAGCCCCGGCUAAUUCCGUG
rnacentral:rRNA from 1 species